GGGGACGUGGGAUGGAUCCGUGCUGGGUCCAAACCCCAGCAGCACUCCAGGGUGCUGAGCCCCUCUGGCUUCU